ACACUCCUACGGGAGGCAGCAGUGGGGAAUUUUGGACAAUGGGCGAAAGCCUGAUCCAGCAAUGCCGCGUGAGUGAAGAAGGCCUUCGGGUUGUAAAGCUCUUUUGUCAGGGAAGAAACGGUGAGAGCUAAUAUCUCUUGCUAAUGACGGUACCUGAAGAAUAAGCACCGGCUAACUACGUGCCAGCAGCCGCGGUAAUACGUAGGGUGCAAGCGUUAAUCGGAAUUACUGGGCGUAAAGCGUGCGCAGGCGGUUUUGUAAGUCUGAUGUGAAAUCCCCGGGCUCAACCUGGGAAUUGCAUUGGAGACUGCAAGGCUAGAAUCUGGCAGAGGGGGGUAGAAUUCCACGUGUAGCAGUGAAAUGCGUAGAUAUGUGGAGGAACACCGAUGGCGAAGGCAGCCCCCUGGGUCAAGAUUGACGCUCAUGCACGAAAGCGUGGGGAGCAAACAGGAUUAGAUACCCCAGUAGUCCCA
rnacentral:rRNA from 1 species